UACGUAUGGUGCAAGCGUUAUCCGGAUUUACUGGGUGUAAAGGGAGCGUAGACGGCAUAGCAAGUCUGAAGUGAAAGGCUGGGGCUCAACCCCGGGACUGCUUUGGAAACUGUUAGGCUGGAGUGCAGGAGAGGUAAGUGGAAUUCCCAGUGUAGCGGUGAAAUGCGUAGAUAUUGGGAGGAACACCAGUGGCGAAGGCGCCUUUCUGGACUGUGUCUGACGCUGAGGCUCGAAAGCGUGGGGAGCAAACAGG
rnacentral:rRNA from 1 species